GACGUAGGAUGCAAGCAUUGUCCGGAUUUGUUGGGCGUAAAGAGUUCGUAGGCGGUUUGUUAAGUCUAGUGUUAAAGAUCAGGGCUCAACCCUGGGACUGCACUGGAUACUGGCAGACUGGAGUGUGGUAGAGGUAAGUGGAAUUCCUGGUGUAGCGGUGAAAUGCGUAGAUAUCAGGAAGAACACCAGUGGCGUAGGCGACUUACUGGGCCACAACUGACGCUGAGGAACGAAAGCCAGGGGAGCAAAUGGG
rnacentral:rRNA from 1 species